UGACAGUGGUGGGAUUCGAACACAUGCCUCCGAAGAGAUUGGGGCCUUAAACCAGAGCCUUAGACCUAUCGGCCACGCUACC